rnacentral:rRNA from 1 species
UACGUAGGUGGCGAGCGUUGUCCGGAUUUACUGGGCGUAAAGAGCGCGCAGGCGGUCGUUCAAGUCGCGUGUGAAAGCCCCCGGCUCAACUGGGGAGGGUCACGCGAUACUGAUCGACUCGAAGGCAGGAGAGGGAAGUGGAAUUCCCGGUGUAGUGGUGAAAUGCGUAGAUAUCGGGAGGAACACCAGUGGCGAAGGCGACUUCCUGGCCUGUUCUUGACGCUGAGGCGCGAAAGCUAGGGGAGAAAACGGG